rnacentral:misc_RNA from 1 species
UUUUUGGUUGUGGGCGAUACUCAGGGUUAGCUUGAAAUUGGAGACUGUUUCAGUCUUUUUUAAUUCAACACUUAGCUUCUUUGGAGACGCUGUUCUCGCUGUGAUGUAUUUAUGGAUUUAUUCGUUUUACUUUACAAGGGAAAUGGUAACGUACCUUAGGCAAAGGGUUGCUUUUAAUAUUCAUCAAGUUUGACCUCGUAUCAGGUAGGAUUACCCGCUGAACUUAAGCAUAUCAAUAAGGGGAGGA